AUUUAAGUAGUUUAGUUUUUAGAAUAAUAAUUUGUGGCAUUAUUGGCGUGUAAUCACCUUAGAUC
rnacentral:tRNA from 1 species